UACACACCGCCCGUCACACCAUGAAAGCUGGUAGUACCAGACGUCGUCUAGCUAACCGUAAGGAGGCAGACGCCCAAGGUAACACUGGUGAUUGGGGUG
rnacentral:rRNA from 1 species